rnacentral:rRNA from 1 species
AUUGAACGCUGGCGGCAAGCCUAACACAUGCAAGUCGAACGAGUGGCGGACGGGUGAGUAAUGUCUGGGAAACUGCCUGAUGGAGGGGGAUAACUACUGGAAACGGUAGCUAAUACCGCAUACCAUCGGAUGUGCCCAGCUGGGAUUAGCUAGUAGGUGGGGUAAAGGCUCACCUAGGCGACGAUCCCUAGCUGGUCUGAGAGGAUGACCAGCCACACUGGAACUGAGACACGGUCCAGACUCAUACGGGAGGCAGCAGUUGGGAAUAUUGCACAAUGGGCGCAAGCCUGAUGCAGCCAUGCCGCGUGUGUGAAGAAGGCCUUCGGGUUGUAAAGUACUGUCGUCGGGGAGGCGGUACCCACAGAAGAAGCACCGGCUAACUCCGUGCCAGCAGCCGCGGUAAUAC